AGACGUCUACAUUAGAUACCCGGGUAGUCCAGGGUGUAAACGCUGCAGACUUGGUGUUGGAGGCCCUUUGGGGGCAUUCAGUGCCGGAGAGAAGUUGUUAAGUCUGCUACUUGGGAGUACGUCCGCAAGGAUGAAACUUAAAGGAAUUGGCGGGGGAGCACCGCAACGGGAGGAGCGUGCGGUUUAAUUGGAUUCAACACCGUAAAACUCACCAGGGAAGACUGUUACAUGAAGGCCGAGAUGAAGACUCUGCUAGAUUUUCAG
rnacentral:rRNA from 1 species